UACGAAGGGGGCUAGCGUUGUUCGUAAUUACUGGGCGUAAAGCGCACGUAGGCGGAUCGAUCAGUCAGGGGUGAAAUCCCAGAGCUCAACUCUGGAACUGCCUUUGAUACUGUCGGUCUAGAGUAUGGAAGAGGUGAGUGGAAUUCCGAGUGUAGAGGUGAAAUUCGUAGAUAUUCGGAGGAACACCAGUGGCGAAGGCGGCUCACUGGUCCAUUACUGACGCUGAGGUGCGAAAGCGUGGGGAGCAAACAGG
rnacentral:rRNA from 1 species